rnacentral:lncRNA from 1 species
GCCAGGCUCAGGGUACACCUAUUGCCAGGGAGCUCCCACUGAUUCCUUGUGAGUGUAGCACAGAUUUGUUGCGACUGGACCAUCUGCACGUCUGGGCUUCAGAGCUGUUCUCCCCAGCUGUUUUCUGCCAGGUCCUGUCAGAGGCAGCCACCCUCCCUGGGCAGAGCAAAACCUUGAGCCUGUGUUUGGAUUUUGUUUCUGGGCCUAAGCCUAAGGCUUCAGUUUCACAUUCUUGGUACCUCCUGGUGGUGCCUGGGAGGGAGCCACUGCUGUACAGAGAUGCCAAUUCCAGAGGCAUGGUCCGGCACAGAGCGCUGGCUUCCAGCUGAAGGACAUGUGUAA